GGGGGGGGGGGGGGGGGGGGGGGGGGGGGGGGGGGGGGGGGGGGGGGGGGAAAAAAAAAAAAAAAAAAAAAAAAAAAAAAAAAAAAAAAAAAGCACACUGCCAAGCCACCAGCAACAAGAGGAGCACCUUGCAGUGCAAGAAAUGCUGCCACUUCUCAUUGUCACAGCAGAAGGUGCUCUUCCAAUGUCAACCCAGUGCCACCCAGCCUGAGAGAGAGCUUGGAAUGAAGUGUUG
rnacentral:lncRNA from 12 species